rnacentral:lncRNA from 10 species
AGAACCAGUCUUAAUCCAGAAACUGAAAGACAAACAGAAAUAGAAACUGAGUUACAGAGAGUUAAAGUUAUGUCUCCACAGCUUUUUAUUCAAGAAGCUGAAAAAGACAAACUUGGGUGAAACAGAUUGAAGUGGUGUAUUUCUCAAGUAAUAUAUCUUAUUUAGCUCCAGUGGGUGAAAGAACAACUCAGAAAUAAAAGCAAUGAGAAAGCAAAAGGAUUUUUACUUGCAAUGUUUUGCAAGAAAGACCAGCCUUCAGAACUGGCUCUCCAGAAUGAAAUCUCAAUGAAAGAAAAGACCUGGUGUUUUUUGUUUUCUGCUGUAUCCCAAUGCUUAGAACACUAUUUUGGUACAUAGUAGGAUGUAAAGAUACCACAGAACAAAGACCCUGCCACUGCAGCUUCCAACUUGUAGUAGAUAAUAUGAAAACAAGACACAUGUACAC